rnacentral:rRNA from 1 species
CGUGCUAUUACAUGCAGUUGAGCGCUGAGGUUGGUACUUGUACCGCUCUGGAUGAGCAGCGAACGGGUGAGUAACGCGUGGGGAAUCUGCCUUUGAGCGGGGGACAACAUUUGGAAACGAAUGCUAAUACCGCAUAAAAACUUUAAACACAAGUUUUAAGUUUGAAAGAUGCAAUUGCAUCACUCAAAGAUGAUCCCGCGUUGUAUUAGCUAGUUGGUGAGGUAAAGGCUCACCAAGGCGAUGAUACAUAGCCGACCUGAGAGGGUGAUCGGCCACAUUGGGACUGAGACACGGCCCAAACUCCUACGGGAGGCAGCAGUAGGGAAUCUUCGGCAAUGGACGAAAGUCUGACCGAGCAACGCCGCGUGAGUGAAGAAGGUUUUCGGAUCGUAAAACUCUGUUGGUAGAGAAGAACGUUGGUGAGAGUGGAAAGCUCAUCAAGUGACGGUAACUACCCAGAAAGGGACGGCUAACUACGUGCCAGCAGCCGCGGUAAUACGUAGGUCCCGAGCGUUGUCCGGAUUUAUUGGGCGUAAAGCGAGCGCAGGUGGUUUAUUAAGUCUGGUGUAAAAGGCAGUGGCUCAACCAUUGUAUGCAUUGGAAACUGGUAGACUUGAGUGCAGGAGAGGAGAGUGGAAUUCCAUGUGUAGCGGUGAAAUGCGUAGAUAUAUGGAGGAACACCGGUGGCGAAAGCGGCUCUCUGGCCUGUAACUGACACUGAGGCUCGAAAGCGUGGGGAGCAAACAGGAUU